AACGCACAUUGCGCCCUGUGGUAUUCCGCAGGGCAUGCCUGUUCGAGCGUCAUUUAACCACUCAAGCCUAGCUUGGUAUUGGGGCACGUGGUUCCGCGGCCCUCAAAAUCAGUGGCGGCGCCGGUGGGCUCUAAGCGUAGUACAUACUCCCGCUAUAGAGUUCCCCCGGUCGCUCGCUAGAACCCCCUCAUUUUUACAGGUUGACCUCGGAUCAGGUAGGGAUACCCGCUGAACUUAA
rnacentral:misc_RNA from 1 species